rnacentral:rRNA from 1 species
AGUGAGCGCUGGCGGUAGGCCUAACACAUGCAAGUCGAACGGCAGCACAGUAGGAGCUUGCUCUUACGGGUGGCGAGUGGCGGACGGGUGAGGAAUACAUCGGAAACUACUUUUUCGUGGGGGAUAACGUAGGGAAACUUACGCUAAUACCGCAUACGACCUACGGGUGAAAGCAGGGGAUCUUCGGACCUUGCGCGAUUGAAUGAGCCGAUGUCGGAUUAGCUAGUUGGCGGGGUAAAGGCCCACCAAGGCGACGAUCCGUAGCUGGUCUGAGAGGAUGAUCAGCCACACUGGAACUGAGACACGGUCCAGACUCCUACGGGAGGCAGCAGUGGGGAAUAUUGGACAAUGGGCGCAAGCCUGAUCCAGCCAUACCGCGUGGGUGAAGAAGGCCUUCGGGUUGUAAAGCCCUUUUGUUGGGAAAGAAAAGCAGCAGGUUAAUACCCCGCUGUUCUGACGGUACCCAAAGAAUAAGCACCGGCUAACUUCGUG